AAAGGCCCAGCCUGCCCUGAGCCCUGAGGCCAGCUGGUCGGCUUUCCCUGCCAUUAUCCCCCGAGCCAGGCCGGAGUGGGGCUCCCAGAGGAGCUCUCGGCUCUAAGUCCCAGCCCCUCUCAGAGGAGGCGUGCGGCCGAGGUUCUGCAGCCAGAGGCUUCUCGGCUCUGAGCUCCGGAGCCAGAUGUAACAUUGACCUUAAAUGGUAAAAGCUCCCCAGAGUGAAGAGAGGCUGGCCAGAGGAGGAAAGGAGAAUAACUCAGUUUUAGCCUGUGGAGCCCAGGCCUCUUGGAGCAUCUUUGGGGCUGACGCAGCGGAGGUUCCGGGCACACGUGGCCACUCCCAGCAGGAGGCUGCCAUGCCCCACAUUCCCGAGGACGAGGAGCCCCCCGGAGAGCCACAGGCAGCCCAGAGCCCUGCCGGCCAAAGUUCACAGUCCCCACAAGAGGCUUUCUCA
rnacentral:lncRNA from 1 species